GAUAAUGCAAGUAGCAUACAUUUGCAGAUGUGGAAGAUACACAAAAGAAAUGAAUCUGAAUUUGGCUUCCUAAGCAAUUUUAUAGCCAAGUAAAUCCUCAAUCUAAAACAAACAAUGCAGCAACGCAAUAAAGAAUUUUGAUAUAGUGAGCAAAAAAAAAAUUAAAGAAAUACAAGGUAAACUCCCACACUCAGAUUCACAAGACAGGUUUUUGCGCCUUUGGCUACAAUGUUAAUAUGUUAUUCAACUAAAACUAGUUUCUCACAAUAUUGGGUGCAGUAUUUUGAAUGGACCAUCA
rnacentral:misc_RNA from 1 species